CCUCUGCAGCCAUCUCCUCCUCAGAUCUCCAAAAGGCUGAUGCUGCUUCAGCUCUACCAGAAUCAUCAUCACCAUCAUCUUUCCUCUGGAUUUUCCGGAACCUUGGUGCCACCCUGGCUCCCUUCUCCUCCUCUGCUUUGGGCUCUCUACUCCCUCCUCUUUAGGCCUCCAGCUCCCAGGGAAGCAGUUGCUGGAUCAUCUUUUCAUCUUCACUCGGCAAGGUAUGUUAUUCUUUGGCUUCCCUCCCUGGGAGCCUGGAGGCAUACAGGAAGGAUACAAGUAUUGCUUUCAUUAAAAAAAAAAAAAGAA
rnacentral:lncRNA from 1 species